rnacentral:misc_RNA from 1 species
GAUGGGUCUUUAACGGCAGGAGCACGCCGCAACCUCCCUAGCGAGAUAAUGAAUUACUACGCUCGGAGUUGUAGCGAGCCCGCCACUUCCUUUCAGGGCCUACGGCAGCCGUAGGGCCCCAACACCAAGCAGGGCUUGAGGGUUGAAAUGACGCUCGAACAGGCAUGCCCGGUAGAGUACUACCGGGCGCAAUGUGCGUUCAAAGAUUCGAUGAUUCACUGAAUUCUGCAAUUCACAUUACUUAUCGCAUUUCGCUGCGUUCUUCAUCGAUGCCAGAACCAAGAGAUCCGUUGUUGAAAGUUUUAACUUAUUUGUUUUAUACUCAGAGAUGCCACUAUAAUACAGAGUUUCGUACCUCCGGCGGGCGCCCCGAACCUCCGGAGAGGCAGGGCUGCGGCGCCCCCGUUAAGGGGUGCCGCGCCGCCGAAGCAACUUGGACGAGUUCGCGAUGGUUUGAAGUAGCCUUUCGGCUUCUUGUAAUGAUCCCUCCGCAGG